rnacentral:snRNA from 1 species
AUUGCUUCUCGGCCUUUUGGCUAAGAUCAAGUGUAAAUCACUGGGCCUUCACUGACCAUCCAUCUGAAGAAUCACCUUCCCUUCGUCUUCAGCAGUUUACUUUGUUUUUUUUUUUUUGGUGUCGGGGAUCGAACUCUGGUCCUUGUGCUUGCACAGCUGGCAGCGAGACCACUGAGCUAAAUCCCCGGCCCAGGUGGGCCAGUUUA